UGCGUAGGCGGAAUGAUAAGUCAUUUGUAAAAGAUCUCGGCUCAACCGAGUAAGGCGAAUGAAACUGUCAAUCUUGAGUAUGGUAGAGGUAAGCGGAAUUUCAAGUGUAGCGGUGGAAUGCGUAGAUAUUUGAAGGAACACCGAUGGCGAAGGCAGCUUACUGGGCCAGAACUGACGCUGAGGCACGAAAGCGUGGGUAGCAAACAGGAUUAGAUACCCUGGUAGUC
rnacentral:rRNA from 1 species